rnacentral:rRNA from 1 species
AGAGUUUGAUCAUGGCUCAGGACGAACGCUGGCGGGCGUGCUUAACACAUGCAAGUCUACGAGAAAGGGGUAGCAAUAUCCUGAGUAAAGUGGCGCACGGGUGAGGAACAUGUAAGUAAUCUACCCAUAGAUUUUGGAAUAACGCAGAGAAAUUUGCGCUAAUACCGAAUAAUGCAGCGGCACCACAUGGUGAUGUUGUUAAAGUCUAUAUGGCGGCUAUGGAUGAGCUUGCAUCUGAUUAGCUAGUUGGUGAGGUAAUGGCCCACCAAGGCAACGAUCAGUAGCUGGUCUGAGAGGAUGAUCAGCCACACUGGAACUGAGACACGGUCCAGACUCCUACGGGAGGCAGCAGUGAGGAAUAUUGGGCAAUGCCCGGAAGGGUGACCCAGCAACGCCGCGUGGAGGAUGAAUGCCGUAAGGUUGUAAACUCCUGUGAGAAGGGAAGAAAGUGCGGAAUCGAAUUCCGUUUUGACUGUACCUUCAGAGGAAACCCCGGCUAACUACGUGCCAGCAGCCGCGGUAAUACGUAGGGGGUUAGCGUUGUCCGGAUUUACUGGGUGUAAAGGGCGCGUAGGCGGGUUUGUAAGUCAGAGGUGAAAUCCUGCAGCUUAACUGCAGAGCUGCCUUUGAUACUGCAAAUCUUGAGUUCAGAAGAGAGAGAUGGAAUUCCAGGUGUAGUGGUGAAAUACGUAGAUAUCUGGAAGAACACCAGUGGCGAAGGCGGUCUCUUGGUCUGUAACUGACGCUGAGGCGCGAAAGCGUGGGUAGCAAACAGGAUUAGAUACCCUGGUAGUCCACGCUGUAAACGAUGAAUACUAGAUGUUGGGCCUGAGGGCUCAGUGUCGCAGCUAACGCAUUAAGUAUUCCACCUGGGGAGUACGAUCGCAAGGUUGAAACUCAAAGGAAUUGACGG